rnacentral:lncRNA from 1 species
CGGUCUCUGUUCGGCCAAUUGUUUAUCUAGUUUUGGUCGUGCUUUCAGUUUGGUUGCUGCAUUGGGUUCAGAACAUAAUUUUGAUUGGCAGAGGCUAUCCGAGUAGAAGACGAGUUGAUUUCCCUUUGAUGCAUGUCUUAGUCGACGCAGAUAGACUUCCGGUGUAACUGAAUGUUGAAUCUGCCAGCCAGAUUAGACUUUAGAGUACCAUUUUUAGUGCCCAAAAAUAAAUAGAUGUAAUCUAUGUGUUAAAAGAUAUCAAAUGAUGUGAGAGUUGAAAUACAACAUAGGAUAGAUAGUGAAAGAGUGUAGGAUUAAUAUACAUGACUAAACUCAAUAGCUAAUGCCAUAAGCUUUUGAGUUCAGUUGUGCAUGGAUGUUAGUUCUUUGUAUGUUAAUGCAUAUUGUGUACUAGUAAUGAUUAAUAG